UACGAAGGGGGCUAGCGUUGCUCGGAAUCACUGGGCGUAAAGCGCACGUAGGCGGACUCUUAAGUCGGUGGUGAAAUCCUGGAGCUCAACUCCAGAACUGCCUUCGAUACUGAGAGUCUCGAGUCCGGGAGAGGUGAGUGGAACUGCGAGUGUAGAGGUGAAAUUCGUAGAUAUUCGCAAGAACACCAGUGGCGAAGGCGAGUCUCUGGGAUGAUACUGACGCUGAUGCUCGAAAGCUAGGGGAGCAAACGGG
rnacentral:rRNA from 1 species